CGUGCUUAACACAUGCAAGUCGAACGGAAAGGCCCUUCGGGGUACUCGAGUGGCGAACGGGUGAGUAACACGUGGGCAACCUGCCCCUAGCUCUGGGAUAACACCGGGAAACCGGUGCUAAUACCGGAUACACACUUUUUGAGGCAUCUCAGAUGGUGGAAAGUUUUUCGGCUAGGGAUGGGCCCGCGGCCUAUCAGCUUGUUGGUGGGGUAAUGGCCUACCAAGGCGACGACGGGUAGCCGGCCUGAGAGGGCGACCGGCCACACUGGGACUGAGACACGGCCCAGACUCCUACGGGAGGCAGCAGUGGGGAAUAUUGCGCAAUGGGCGAAAGCCUGACGCAGCGACGCCGCGUGAGGGAUGACGGCCUUCGGGUUGUAAACCUCUUUCAGCUCUGACGAAGCGCAAGUGACGGUAGGAGCAGAAGAAGCACCG
rnacentral:rRNA from 1 species